rnacentral:rRNA from 1 species
AUUGAACGCUGGCGGCAUGCUUUACACAUGCAAGUCGAACGGUAACAGGCCGCAAGGUGCUGACGAGUGGCGAACGGGUGAGUAAUGCAUCGGAACGUGCCCAGUCGUGGGGGAUAACGCAGCGAAAGCUGUGCUAAUACCGCAUACGAUCUAUGGAUGAAAGCGGGGGACCGUAAGGCCUCGCGCGGUUGGAGCGGCCGAUGUCAGAUUAGGUAGUUGGUGGGGUAAAGGCUCACCAAGCCAACGAUCUGUAGCUGGUCUGAGAGGACGACCAGCCACACUGGGACUGAGACACGGCCCAGACUCCUACGGGAGGCAGCAGUGGGGAAUUUUGGACAAUGGGCGCAAGCCUGAUCCAGCAAUACCGCGUGCAGGAAGAAGGCCUUCGGGUUGUAAACUGCUUUUGUACGGAACGAAACGGUCUGGGUUAAUACCCUGGGCUAAUGACGGUACCGUAAGGAUAAGCACCGGCUAACUACGUGCCAGCAGCCGCAGUAACAC